UACGAAGGGGGCUAGCGUUGCUCGGAAUCACUGGGCGUAAAGGGUGCGUAGGCGGGUCUUUAAGUCAGGGGUGAAAUCCUGGAGCUCAACUCCAGAACUGCCUUUGAUACUGAAGAUCUUGAGUUCGGGAGAGGUGAGUGGAACUGCGAGUGUAGAGGUGAAAUUCGUAGAUAUUCGCAAGAACACCAGUGGCGAAGGCGGCUCACUGGCCCGAUACUGACGCUGAGAGACGAAAGUGCGGGGAUCAAACAGG
rnacentral:rRNA from 1 species